AAGAAAGUGACAGAGUGGAGAUGUGGUCGACUUGAAAUCGAAUUAUAGGGGUUCAAUUCCCUUCUUUCUCG
rnacentral:tRNA from 1 species